UCAAGUUAUGAGUAUUCCCGAUAGGAUUCACUACCUGUGAAGAAGCCUUGUAACCGAAAACGGCCGUAAGUUACGGUCAGAAACAAAUGGGGGAAUUUAUUUUG
rnacentral:sRNA from 2 species